AAAUGGCACAAAGUCAAAUGGAGGGGACAAGGCUGGUGUGAGCGCGACAUGUACUAGGAAAGGAUGAGCGGCUUCAACAUAGCGAUUUCUGUUUGUCAACAGAAAAUCAUACUUUCUUCUCUACAUGUCACUACCACUGACAGUUGGAUAUUGAAGGUCCAACUUUCCAAGGAAUCCGGCCCCCCUCCUUCUGGAAGAAAGCCGGUCCCCAAGGCUGCCUGGCUCGCCUCAUUGGCCCGAGCGAGGGAACAGGAGCCAACAAUCACCCUA